CUGAUAUGCAACUGGGCGGUUGAGCUUCACCUGCCACAUCGGGUGUUCCGCCAGUUUGGUUUGUUCCAGCCACACCCGCCGGAGUGGGAGGACACGGACAAGUUGCUACACGCGUUGGAUAGGAAAAAGCAGCGGAAGAUCAAGGAUUGGGCCAGCCAUCACAGGAAGUAUGUCGUGCAGUUCGCUCUUAGUGUGGAGCAAGCAAGGGCUGGAAAACGAGCCCAGCUUCGUGAGCACUGCCCGAUCGCGUUCAACAACUA